rnacentral:rRNA from 1 species
GAUGAACGCUGGCGGCGUGCCUAAUACAUGCAAGUCGAGCGAAUGGAUUAAGGGCUUGCUCUUAUGAAGUUAGCGGCGGACGGGUGAGUAACACGUGGGUAACCUGCCCAUAAGACUGGGAUAACUCCGGGAAACCGGGGCUAAUACCGGAUAACAUUUUGAACCGCAUGGUUCGAAAUUGAAAGGCGGCUUCGGCUGUCACUUAUGGAUGGACCCGCGUCGCAUUAGCUAGUUGGUGAGGUAACGGCUCACCAAGGCAACGAUGCGUAGCCGACCUGAGAGGGUGAUCGGCCUCACUGGGACUGAGACACGGCCCAGACUCCUACGGGAGGCAGCAGUAGGGAAUCUUCCGCAAUGGACGAAAGUCUGACGGGGCAACGCCGCGUGAGUGAUGAAGGCUUUCGGGUCGUAAAACUCUGUUGUUAGGGAAGAACAAGUGCUAGUUGAAUAAGCUGGCACCUUGACGGUACCUAACCAGAAAGCCACGGCUAACUACGUGCCAGCCGCCGCCGUAA